rnacentral:rRNA from 1 species
UGGGGAAUAUUGGGCAAUGGGGGAAACCCUGACCCAGCAACGCCGCGUGAAGGAUGAAGGUUUUCGGAUUGUAAACUUCUUUGAUCAGGGACGAAAUUGACGGUACCUGAAGAACAAGCCACGGCUAACUACGUGCCAGCAGCCGCGGUAAUACGUAGGUGGCAAGCGUUAUCCGGAAUUACUGGGCGUAAAGGGCGCGUAGGCGGGGCCGCAAGUCAGAAGUGAAAGCCCGGUGCUUAACACCGGAUGUGCUUCUGAAACUGCGACUCUUGAGUGUCGGAGAGGAAAGUAGAAUUCCCAGUGUAGCGGUGGAAUGCGUAGAGAUUGGGAGGAAUAUCGGUGGCGAAGGCGACUUUCUGGACGAUAACUGACGCUGAGGCGCGAAAGCGUGGGGAGCAAACA